UUUUUUUGCUAGUAAGUGCUCGGUCGGCAGUACUUAUAUAGAAAUAGUAGAAAAUUUGAACCCAAAAUAGGAAUUAAAAGAAAAUUAAAGGCAAAAAAUUAGAGUAAGCCGACCAAAGUUGAAUAGGGCACAAGCUUGUGUCUUCUUGCCCUGUAGACAAAUAUCAACAGAUUGAAGUUACUAUUUUACCCUCGAUGAGCAUCCUCAGUCCUGAAUUUUCUGUUCCACCCAUUGGUUCUAUUGAGGAAGAACAGUCUGAAUUUUGCAAGUAAUUCAUGUACGAGCAGGCCGCGGCCUUGGCGGGUUGGUCGGGUCGUUUCCCGGAACAUACUAUAAUCGGUUCCAAUUUGUCAAUUUAGCCCUUAUUUGUUUUUCAUUCUUUCCCCAUUAAAAUGAAAAAUAUAACUGUUAUCUAUUACAUCAAGCCACCAAAUUUGAAUUUCUAUCUCUUGUGUGGACCCAUAACGACUAUAUUUUUCAUUCUCAUUUUUACAAAAAUGGAAAACAAACACUCCCUUAAUUGUAUCAAAUUCAAAUUUAACUGUUUCUUAUUAUUAGAAUC
rnacentral:lncRNA from 1 species